rnacentral:rRNA from 1 species
AGUGAACGCUGGCGGUAGGCCUAACACAUGCAAGUCGAACGGCAGCACAGUAAGAGCUUGCUCUUACGGGUGGCGAGUGGCGGACGGGUGAGGAAUACAUCGGAAUCUACUUUUUCGUGGGGGAUAACGUAGGGAAACUUACGCUAAUACCGCAUACGACCUACGGGUGAAAGCAGGGGAUCUUCGGACCUUGCGCGAUUGAAUGAGCCGAUGUCGGAUUAGCUAGUUGGCGGGGUAAAGGCCCACCAAGGCGACGAUCCGUAGCUGGUCUGAGAGGAUGAUCAGCCACACUGGAACUGAGACACGGUCCAGACUCCUACGGGAGGCAGCAGUGGGGAAUAUUGGACAAUGGGCGCAAGCCUGAUCCAGCCAUACCGCGUGAGUGAAGAAGGCCUUCGGGUUGUAAAGCCCUUUUGUUGGGAAAGAAAAGCAGCAGGUUAAUACCCCGCUGUUCUGACGGUGCCCAAAGAAUAAGCACCGGCUAACUUCGUG